GUUUCUCUCUGUUAGGGUUUGACAUUGAAGAAGGGUCCAGUGGAGUCAUCAUUGAAGAGUUCUGGGACUCCGUUCAGCUGGAGAUCAUUGCUCGAGGGUUUUGUCCAAGUCCUACAAAAAGCAGCUUCCUGGUUAAUCCUAGUUUUGAGCACUGGGGUCCGUGGAUGAAGGAAGACUAAGAUAAGACCAGAUCAUGAGAAGAGAGAUGGAAUUUAACAGAAGAAAUUACAGCUGGAAUAAAUAUCUUUGUAUGCUGA